rnacentral:tRNA from 1 species
GCCCCCAUAGCUCAGGGGAGAGAGCAACGGCCUCCGGAGCCGUGAGCGCAGGUUCGAAUCCUGCUGGGGGCGCCA